rnacentral:rRNA from 1 species
CGGAGGGUGCGAGCGUUGUCCGGAAUCACUGGGCGUAAAGGGCGCGUAGGCGGCCUGAUAAGUAGGGGGUGAAAUCCUGCGGCUUAACCGCAGGGCUGCCUUCUAAACUGUCAGGCUAGAGCACAGUAGAGGCAGGUGGAAUUCCCGGUGUAGCGGUGGAAUGCGUAGAUAUUGGGAAGAACACCGGUGGCGAAGGCGGCGAGCUGGCCUGUACCUGACGCUGAGGCGCGACAGCGUGGGGAGCAAACAGG